rnacentral:rRNA from 1 species
AUGACCGACAAGAUCCUCAGCACGAGGUCUCCACAGAUCCCCAUCCGCAGCCUCAAGCUCAGGUUCAUCAUGAGAGGCGACGGCCAUCUCAAGAUCGGCAGGGCCGUCGCCCUCGCCAUGGCCACGCAGAAGAUCGACGCGGCAGAGUUCGAUAUCCUGACCAAGGACAUCUAUUAUAGGCGCACCGAUGCCGAUCUCCUCGACUCGGCGAAGCUGUUCAACAAUUUUAUCGGCGAGUGUGCCGACGCGUUUGCCGGCCUCACGCGGCUGCAGCUGCAGAACCUGAGGCGGAAAUGUUAUCCGGAACCAUGGUUCAGCCGAACCUACGCUCGACACCAUUCAUUUCUAGACACUAUUCAUAAGGAUCGAUGCAUGAUUGAUUAA